AAAAUGAAUAAUUUACAUGUAUUAUUUAAAUCUGAGCCAUUUUUAACAAUCUCAAAAGGAUUUUCAUAUAAAUAUUAAAUGUACACAUUUACAAUUUCGUGUUAUAUGUUAACAUUUAUUUUUACACAUGUUAACAAUAAUUGUGCUCCUCCAGAGUCAUGUGUGUCACAGUUGGAGCUGAAAGGAAAGCAGAGAUUUGUCCUCCCAGACGGACGCCACUUUGCUCGUCCUGCUGGUUCCUGGUGUCGUCCUGCUCUGGCUCCCAGCAGUCUCCUUUGCUGAUGCACAGAUUGUGCAGAAUUAAACUUCAGGCAAUGAUUUUCAUUGCAAAGUGCGUGUUCUGGAGUGGUGCUGGUUGUAACUGCCUCAACCACAUUCCUCAUGGGUUCCCUGUAGGGUGUCAGCAGCAUGAUGGGAUGAGCAAUGCAGGGAUACCCACCAUCACCCAAAAGGAUCCUUCAGGGCCUUUAUUCUCAUGUGGCAGCCAUUGAUGCUCCCCACAACCUUUUGGAAGGUGGAAGACCAAGCGAGCUGCUAAAAAACCAGGGGUGACUAACGGUAGUUCAUUCCCACCGGGAAGCUGGAUGACCCGGCUCACAGUGGACCGUGUCAUGUCAAAGGCCCUGGCUACCACAACGUAAGAUGUGCCACACGCCAGCCAUAAAAGUAAUACCAGGACCUCAGUCUCCUGUGCCCCCAGAGUGUGAGGAACCCGAAGCUGCUCCACCAGAUGCUCGA